AGUCACUGACAUUAGAUACCCCCUGUAGUCCAGGGUGUAAACGCUGCAGACUUGGUGUUGGGAACCCUUCGGGGGUGCUCAGUGCCGGAGAGAAGUUGUUAAGUCUGCUACUUGGGGAGUACGUCCGCAAGGAUGAAACUUAAAGGAAUUGGCGGGGGAGCACCGCAACGGGAGGAGCGUGCGGUUUAAUUGGAUUCAACACCGUAAAACUCACCAGGGAAGACUGUUACAUGAAAGCCGAGAUGAAGACUCUGCUAGAUUUUCAG
rnacentral:rRNA from 1 species